rnacentral:rRNA from 1 species
AGUGAACGCUGGUGGCGUGCUUAACACAUGCAAGUCGAACGAGAACGGAUUAUAGCUUGCUAUAAUUGUCAGCUAAGUGGCGCACGGGUGAGUAAUGUAUAGGUAAUAUGCCUCUUACUAAGGGAUAACAAAUGGAAACGUUUGCUAAUACCUUAUACUCCUUAUUAACAGAAGUUAAUAAGGGAAAGAUUUAUUGGUAAGAGAUUAGCCUGUAUUGUAUCAGUUAGUUGGUGGGGUAAUGGCUUACCAAGACUAUGACACAUAACUGGUUUGGGAGGAUGAUCAGUCACACUGGAACUGAGACACGGUCCAGACCCCUACGGGAGGCAGCAGUGGGGAAUAUUGCACAAUGGACGAAAGUCUGAUGCAGCAACGCCGCGUGGAGGAUGACACAUUUCGGUGCGUAAACUCCUUUUAUAUGAGAAGAUAAUGACGGUAUUAUAUGAAUAAGCACCGGCUAACUCCGUGCCAGCCGCCGCCGUAA